rnacentral:tRNA from 1 species
AUACCUAUGGUGUAACGGAAGCACAAAGGAUUUCUAAUCCCUAAGUCUAAGUUCGAAUCUUAGUAGGUAUU